GCUUGCUUCUCUGAUGUUAGCGGCGGACGGGUGAGUAACACGUGGAUAACCUACCUAUAAGACUGGGAUAACUUCGGGAAACCGGAGCUAAUACCGGAUAAUAUUUUGAACCGCAUGGUUCAAAAGUGAAAGACGGUCUUGCUGUCACUUAUAGAUGGAUCCGCACUGCAUUAGCUAGUUGGUAAGGUAACGGCUUACCAAGGCAACGAUGCAUAGCCGACCUGAGAGGGUGAUCGGCCACACUGGAACUGAGACACGGUCCAGACUCCUACGGGAGGCAGCAGUAGGGAAUCUUCCGCAAUGGGCGAAAGCCUGACGGAGCAACGCCGCGUGAGUGAUGAAGGUCUUCGGAUCGUAAAACUCUGUUAUUAGGGAAGAACAUAUGUGUAAGUAACUGUGCACAUCUUGACGGUACCUAAUCAGAAAGCCACGGCUAACUACGUGCCAGCAGCCGCGGUAAUACGUAGGUGGCAAGCGUUAUCCGGAAUUAUUGGGCGUAAAGCGCGCGUAGGCGGUUUUUUAAGUCUGAUGUGAAAGCCCACGGCUCAACCGUGGAGGGUCAUUGGAAACUGGAAAACUUGAGUGCAGAAGAGGAAAGUGGAAUUCCAUGUGUAGCGGUGAAAUGCGCAGAGAUAUGGAGGAACACCAGUGGCGAAGGC
rnacentral:rRNA from 1 species